rnacentral:miRNA from 1 species
AAAAAAGUUUGUUUGGGUUUUU